ACACUGAGCGGAGGGUAGCCGAGCUGGUGCUAUCGUUCCCUUGCUCUGGUUACAGUCUCUUCUUCCUUCCCCUCACAUGUGAGCAGAGAGCAAACCAAACUGCCCCCAAGAAGGGUCUUCACAGGAACAAAACUUUGGAGUUGGUGAAUGCAAUGUGACCAGCCACCUCAUGCUCUUGCCACCAUGCUGGACUUCACCCUCACAACUGGAAGACAAAACAAGCCCUGCCUUGAAUUAUUUUCAUCAGGCAUUUUGUCCCAGCAGUGAAACAUGAACUAAUACAGUCUGUCUCCCAUGAGACUACAAAUGAGAGUUGACAAUCUGCAGCCCUCACCAGAACCCAACUAUGUUGCCAUCCUGAGCCUAAGCUUCCAGGCUCCAGACCUGAACUGAAGAAAUUCUGAAGACACCAUCUCCCAAACUCACAGGAGAUGCAUUUAAAGAAGGAUCCCAGGGCUGCCCACUCUCCAGAAAGUUCCACCCACCCUGGCCAUCAGAAGGAGACAGAGAAGCAUUCUUCACUGGGGCCCAGAGCUGACUGUAACUGACCGGAAACACCCACGUCUAUGCAUCGGCUCCACCCACCAAAUGAAAGAACAAAAUUGUGCUUGCUUUUGUUCUCACCGCCCCCACGGAAUUCACAAAUGUGUGUGUGUGUGUGUGUGUGUGUGUGUGUGAAUAUGCUUGAGCCAUCACAAAAUUAGAGAUUUUUUUUUAAAGCAUUGACUUAGGGCCUACUUAUAAACCAGGUAUCAAAGAUCGGCCUCCUUUGAUGCCUUGGUCUCAAAAUAGAUAUUAAUAAUAUUCAUAUUUCUAGGUUUGGGGAACAUUUGCAAACCGCAUGUGAACUCUAUCAUAUAUCAGGAGGUACCAAAGUCUUUGAAAUUAUCUUGCAUGGAAAAAUGGACUGUCUGUGUGCAACCAGAUACCAAUGGCUACAUCUGCCAAGACGGGGGCUCUCCCAAUGGCUACAUCUGCCAAGACAGGGGCUCCCCCAUAAGCCUCUAUUUAACUUCAUGGACUUCAUAUUCUGAUUGUGUAGACCCUGUCUCUGAACUCUGAGUGACUCCUGCAUGUUUGAAGACCAUCCCUGGUGCCUUUGCACAGCUCUGCUGGGCAAGACACAUAAGCUCCUAACAGAUCCAGCCCUCCCCAGCAAGGGCUCAGCCAGCUCUCAGUACUGGCCACUGGCCAACCCUAACCCUAGCUCAGUGAUUCUCCCACAGCCAGCAUGGUGGUGCUCCCACACCCAUCUCUCCACCAUAAAUGAAUUCUUCUCUUGCUCAUUGCACACAGAGAACCCCUGUAAAAGUUCCCUAGCCUGUCGGGCCAGGACUUGAUCAGCCAGGGGUGAGUAGGGGUGAUGGUAUUCUUAAAGCUCUGCAUCUCUCUCUGACUCUACAUUUAACUAGUCCCUGAUCCCAAGGGAUUGCCAACAUUCCUUCAAAUUCCUACAAACCAUGAGGAUUCACUCUCCCAAGAAGGAAUCUUGAGAAGAGGGUACCUCCCUGCCUGACUCAAGAUCUCAAGGACUCUUGAAAGCACACUGAGAGCUGGUUGCUUCCCCAAGAUGAAGGGCCUCAAGAACAUCUCCCCUCCCACCCUUCCCAAGCCUCACAUUUCCCCUCCUCCGUCAGGUUGUUCCCCAUCACUCUGAUUCUGGGUAGCUCCUGGUUGCUCUACCAGAUGCAAUAUGGCAGAAGAGACAGUUCAACGCAUAGGCAGAAUGUCACUUUGCUUUUUGGGGGAACCUUGGGACAAAGGCUUAGAGGCAGGGGUUUGGGUGUCCUGACCGAUACCGUUAGGUAUGGCAUUCGCCAUCACGGUAUCUGCAAUCACAGGGGAAUGGGAAAUCUCUGAGUAGGGACACCCAGCUGAACCCGUCAUCCACCAACCCAGAAGACAGCAUAGGGACUCUACUUUUAAGCCUCUACUUUUGUGGUAUAUGCCUGUGUGUGUGUGUGUGUGUGUGUGUGUGUGUGUGUACAUAUAUAUAACCAUUUGACCACUGUUCAGCAUGUAUUUUCCUGUCAUUAAGAACAUCUAUGGGCUGGGGAGAUGUAUCUAUGUGUAAAGAAGCUUAUUAUGCAAGCUGUGUGACCUGAGUUUGGAUCCUGAGAACUCUGACACAGUAGCGCAAGUACCUUUAACCCCAGCAUGCUCCUAUAGGGAGAUAGGAGACUGGGACAGAAGAAGUCCAAGGGCUAGCAAGCCUAGCUCAUGCUUGUUUGGACCAUGUCUCAAACAAGGUGGAAGGCAAGGACCAACCCCAAAAGGUCUUAUCCCCAAACAGGUAACCCAUGUGCUGUACAAAUAUGCACACACACACACAUACACACACACACACACACACACACACAGAGAGAGAGAGAGAGAGAGAGAGAGAGAGAGAGAGAGAGAGUUAAUUAAUGCCAGCAUCCAUUCCCAGAACUGUAUCUUUCUUAACCAAAAUUUUACACCAACAAAACUGUAAAAUGACAGACUCUCAACCUUUAAAGAUGGAGGCGGGGGUGGGGGGUGGGAGUCAUACAGCACGAGUGUGUCCUUGGACAUCUGAAGUGCUGCUGCUGCUGCUGCUGCUGCUGCAAAGGCUCAAAGUCUGAAUCUCUAAGGGCCUGGGAGUGGUUCCCAAUGAUCACACAUAGAAAAGCUUUCCUGCCGUGUGAAUACAGUGCUGUUAGCAAACAGAGUGUGCUGUCCAGGCCAGGGGCUGAGCCAGGAAGUUGAGAAACUGUGUCCUGGCCCAGUUGGUCUGCCAGGAAAGUAAGUGUGCCACUUAGCCACUAUCAGGGCUUCUUUUUUCAUGUGCAUAAUGAAGCUUGCAAGCCACCUACAUCCCAAGCUGUAAAGGCAGUGAACUUGAGGAAAGAAAAAAAAAAAAAAAAAAGACAGGAUACAUAGAAAUGUGGUAAUAUUUAGCAUGGAGAGGAGAGAAAGGGAAGAGGACAAAGAAAAAAUAAAAGGAAAAAGGAAGAAAGAGGGAAAGGGAGGGAAGGAGGAAGGAAGGAAGGAAGGAAGGAAGGAAGGAAGGAAGGAAGGAAGGAAGGAAGGAAGGAAGGAAGGAAUGCUGCAGGCAUUUGAAGUGAGGUGUGUAGCUUUGAGAAAGCUAAGAAAGAUAAUGGGGCAGUGCAGAUCCUACAACAGCCUCUCCAAGCCUGAGCGAGGGUCUAGGUUAGACCUUCAUCCAGCAGAGGAAAGCAGAAGGGAGACAGCUCGGCUCAGAGAAGGAAGCCUCACUCAUUGCAGUAUGAAGUGUUGGGAUGUAUAUCACACCACAAAUGGCUGGUGCGUCCCUACCAUCUACCUCACUAAAGGAAGAGGUAUGAGAUCUGAGAGUCUAGGGGAGGGUCUCCUAGAAUUAAUUUUUUUUAAAGCCUUAACUUAGUCCAAUUCUGGAGUCUCUCCCCUCCCUCAUUCUCUCCCCGCCCCGUGUGUGUGUGUGUGUGUGUGUGUGUGUGUGUGUGUGUGUGUGUGUGUGUGUGUGCAGCACGUGUGGAAGUCAGAAGGCAUCUUAUGUGCACGUGGGUAUGGAGGUCAGAGGUGAAUUUUAGAAUCACUCCUCAGGCGUGGCCCACCUCUGGAGAUUUGAAUGAGAAACAACCCUCAUUUGAACUCGUGGUCCCUAGUUGGUGGCUCAGUCUGAGGAGGUGGUACAGCCUUGCUGAAAGAAGUAGGUCUGUAAGGGGCAAGUCUUCCUUCACUUCCAAGUUCCCUCUUUUCUGCUUCAAGUCAGUGGUUGACUUAGCUUUCUGCUCUUACUGCCACGCCUCCCUCCUGCUGCCACGCCUCCCUCCUGCUGCCACGCCUCCCUCCUGCUGCCAUGCCUCCCUCCUGAUGGCACCCUCCCUCCUGCUGCCACGCCUCCCUCCUGAUGGCACCCUCCCUCCUCAUGCCAUGCCUCCCCUACCAUUAGGGACUCUCAUCCCUCUAAAACCAAAAUAAGCUCAAAUAAACUCUGUCUUCCUCA
rnacentral:lncRNA from 1 species